UUCAGUAUUGUUGUAUCGAAAGAUACGAUAGUAUGCACUUUUCUCCUAGUAAGACGAUGCGAUCCAUUAGAAAUACAAAUGUUCUGUACACAGAUGCCGAAUAGGAGUUUAGUCUUUUUGUGAGUACCAUGAAUUUGUUUUUAUGGGAAAGCGUCUAAACUAUUUGGUAUUCUUACAGAUAUCUGAUGGUUUUAAAAUGCUAUAUUUGAUGUCUUGUACAUCAGUAUGCUUCGGUAUACAAUAUAUGCAUGAUCAGCAUCGUUUUAGAUUUGGGAUACCAUCAGGACCCGUCUUGAAACACGGACCAAGGAGUUUAACUUGUAUGCGAGUCAAUGGGAUUAUUGAAACCUAUAGGCGAAAUAAACAUGACUUGUUAAUGGGAUUACGAAAAUUACUAUUGUAAUUUUUCUCCAUCCCCGGGUAUCUUAAUGUACGUGCUUGCACUACAGAGAUAUACCGUGAGCAUACAAGCUGUGACCCGAAAGAUGGUGAACUAUGCCUGAUCAGGUUGAAGUCAGGGGAAACCCUGAUGGAAGACCGUAGCAAUUCUGACGUGCAAAUCG
rnacentral:rRNA from 1 species